GAUGAACGCUGGCGGCGUGUCUAAUACAUGCAAGUCGAGCGAACGGACGAGAAGCUUGCUUCUCUGAUGUUAGCGGCGGACGGGUGAGUAACACGUGGAUAACCUACCUAUAAGACUGGGAUAACUUCGGGAAACCGGAGCUAAUACCGGAUGAUAUUUUGAACCGCAUGGUUCAAAAGUGAAAGACGGUCUUGCUGUCACUUAUAGAUGGAUCCGCGCUGCAUUAGCUAGUUGGUAAGGUAACGGCUUACCAAGGCAACGAUGCAUAGCCGACCUGAGAGGGUGAUCGGCCACACUGGAACUGAGACACGGUCCAGACUCCUGCGGGAGGCAGCAGUAGGGAAUCUUCCGCAAUGGGCGAAAGCCUGACGGAGCAACGCCGCGUGAGUGAUGAAGGUCUUCGGAUCGUAAAACUCUGUUAUUAGGGAAGAACAUAUGUGUAAGUAACUGUGCACAUCUUGACGGUACCUAAUCAGAAAGCCACGGCUAACUACGUG
rnacentral:rRNA from 1 species